AAAGGAUAAGGUUGGACGAAAGUACCAGCAGUGAAAAUUAAUGCACUAGCAGCUUACAGAAAGUUAGGGUUCUCAUUCUUCCUAGAGAAACUCUUAAAUUUCUUUUGUGCAGUUUUUGGUGUGUGGGCGCAAGCGCAUGCGCGCGCGUGUUGGGGGGGUGGGGUAGAAUUAGAUUUGUUAGAAAAGAAGCUCUUUUCCAUUCCAGUCACAACUAAAGUUCAAACAAAACUCUUAGCUUGCUGGAAGAAGCCUGGAGGUGUUAAGGGACAGCUUCGCUUAAUCUUUCUUUCUCUUCUUCCUAAGCCAUGUGAAGACCUUGCCUGAUUCCCCUUUGCCCUCCACCAUGAUUGUAAGUUUCCUGAAGCCUCCUCCUCAGACGAAGCCUACACAGCCUGCAGAACUGUGAAGUGAUUAAACCUCUUUUCUUUAUAAGUUACCCAGCCUCAGGUAUACAUGGCAAGCAGGGGCCAGAUUAUAUACACUGCCUUAAAGAUUAUGGUCUUUAUCCUCAGUGCAACAAAAUAAAGUCAUUGAAGAGUUUUAAGUAGAGGACUGACAUGAUGACAUGUUAGGUUCAGCCUUCUGAAGAAUUUGAGAAUCCAUCAUUGCACUGGAAAAUGGAACAAAAAGUCGACUUCAAAGGACCUUGCCCACAAAAGACACCAGAAUGGCAUGAAAAUGCACCUCACAGACAGAGCACCCAGCUGCUGUGCUUUGAAGUCAGCCACACCUCCCAUUCAUUGCUGUUACCAAUGGACUGACUGAAUGCUGUGGCGAUACUGAGGCCGUCUUAGUCCCGGAAGACAGGUGGGGCUCCUUUGUCCACCGCUUAGGCUGGAGUACUUCCCCAUGGCUUUGACAAACAAUCCUUAGACUGCAGAGUAGUGUAGGAUUCUUCCAUUCAACCUUCUCUCCCUCAUCCUGGGGUCAGACUUGGAUGCAGUCCGACAGCUGUCCCAGCCUUUCCUAGCUCCUUCUUUAUUUCUUUUUACACAGGCAUUUCCCACUAUUAAAAUCCUGACAUAUUUAAUCCUGUCUUUGUAUCUGUUUCUCUGAGGUCCUGGGCUAACACAAUUUCCCUUCUGGAACUUUUAUGAAAAAUGAGCAAGUGGAGACAUUGAUCUUAUUUUCUAAUAUCUGGGUGAUCUACUAUUUGGUUCUUAUGCAUUAAAUUAGAUUUUGAAAUCUUAAACUCAGGUCCGGGUCUCUUUGAGCUUUGCUAAUUAGUGCAUGGUGUGGAAAAGCUCAUGUGUCCUAGGGAACCACUUGACACUUUGAUGCUCCAUGGCAUCAAAGCAUGAAGAAUGAAAUAAAAUGGUAUAAUUAUUUUGUAUUUUAACUAUAAGAUCUCAAAGGAUGUUAUAGUUAAAAUUCAAAGUAAUUAUACUAUUUACAUGAUAUAACUAUAUACCAUAUAAGGUAUAAAGGCUCUCUGUGAUCCUUUAAUUCUCCAGGAUCUCAGAGAAACAGAUGCAAAGACAGGAUUAAUAAAUAUAAAUAAAUUUAUAUAAUAAAAAUAUUAAAGAUAGGGUCAAAAGCCUCCAAUUUUUAACUGAUAGAGUUGACCAAAGUAUAUUAAAAUAAUAUACUUAAUUACUUAAUUUAGUCAGCAUGUUAUUGUUUGCACUAGUCACAAGGGCUUUUGGACAAGAGUGAUGAUAAAUCAAUGCAAAUCCAACAUCGCUUCUAGAAAAAUGCCUUCUCAUGCCUGUAAUUCCAGCACUUUGGGAAGCUGAGGUGGGUGGAUAACCUGAGGUCGGGAGUUCGAGACCA
rnacentral:lncRNA from 1 species